AUUGAACGCUGGCGGCAGGCCUAACACAUGCAAGUCGAGCGAGCGGCGGACGGGGGAGUAAUGUCUGGGAAACUGCCUGAUGGAGGGGGAUAACUACUGGAAACGGUAGCUAAUACCGCAUAACAUCAGAUGUGCCCAGAUGGGAUUAGCUAGUAGGUGGGGUAACGGCUCACCUAGGCAAGGAUCCCUAGCUGGUCUGAGAGGAUGACCAGCCACACUGGAACUGAGGCACGGUCCAGACUCCUACGGGAGGCAGGAGUGGGGAAUAGUGCACAAUGGGCGCAAGCCUGAUGCAGCCAUGCCGCGUGUGUGAAGAAGGCCUUAGGGUUGUAAAGCACUGUCAGUGGGGAGGCGUUACCGGCAGAAGAAGCACCGGCUAACUCCGUGCCAGCAGCCGCGGUAAUAC
rnacentral:rRNA from 1 species